rnacentral:tmRNA from 1 species
GGGGCUGAUUUGGUUUAGACAGCAGGAUAAAUUGGUAGACAAGCAUGCCGGGCUUUGAGAUUUGGCCCGUUAAUACUAAUUCUCACACUUUUAUUUGGCGAUACUAAUUAUUCACUCGCUGCUUAAUAACGCUAAGCGUUGUCUAGCUUAAUCCCGGUUUAGAAUCGGGACGAGACAUUCCGCAACGUUGCCUGUUCUGUUAGGCGUUGAGUUCGGAAUGGCCGCAUAACGGGACUAGUUCGGGUGAAGCUUUGGCACCCGGGCGAAAUUAAGAAGCUAAGGUUAAAGCUGGUUGUUUUGCACCUGGUUUUUCUCGAAAACUCAAGCAAAACUAAGCAUGUAGAAAUUCUAUGGGUUUCCUGUUUGGACGAGGGUUCGAGUCCCUCCAGCUCCACUU